AUUAAGAGCUUGCUCUUAUGAUUAGUGGCGCACGGGUGAGUAAUAUAUAGGUAAUGUACCUCUUAGUCUGGGAUAGCCACUGGAAACGGUGAUUAAUACCGGAUACUCCUUUUCAUUUCAAGAUAGAAGUACGGGUAAAGUUUUCGACUAAGAGAUCGGUCUAUAUUCCAUCAGCUAGUGGGAGGUAAUGGCUCACCAAGGCAAUGACGGAUAGCGGGUUUGAGAGGAUGAUCCGCCACACUGGUACUGAGACACGGACCAGACUCC
rnacentral:rRNA from 1 species